GACGAACGCUGGCGGCGUGCCUAAUACAUGCAAGUUGAGCGCUGAAGGUUGGUACUUGUACCAACUGGAUGAGCAGCGAACGGGUGAGUAACGCGUGGGGAAUCUGCCUUUGAGCGGGGGACAACAUUGGGAAACGAAUGCUAAUACCGCAUAAAAACUUUAAACACAAGUUUUAAGUAUGAAAGAUGCAAUUGCAUCACUCAAAGAUGAUCCCGCGUUGUAUUAGCUAGUUGGUGAGGUAAAGGCUCACCAAGGCGAUGAUACAUAGCCGACCUGAGAGGGUGAUCGGCCACAUUGGGACUGAGACACGGCCCAGACUCCUACGGGAGGCAGCAGUAGGGAAUCUUCGGCAAUGGACGAAAGUCUGACCGAGCAACGCCGCGUGAGUGAAGAAGGUUUUCGGAUCGUAAAACUCUGUUGGUAGAGAAGAACGUUGGUGAGAGUGGAAAGCUCAUCAAGUGACGGUAACUACCCAGAAAGGGACGGCUAACUACGUG
rnacentral:rRNA from 1 species